GACAGAGGGAGCCCGACUCCCGUGCCUCCGGCAUGAGGAAAGUCCCCCCACCGGCCGGACGGGCGACCGGGCACACGCCCGGAGUCGGAGACGGCUGGCUCUGGAACAGCAACGACACCCCCCGCCCCGACCGAUGAGUCGAGCGAACCGACCCGCAAGGGAAGGGAGUUAACCCGACGAGGGCGCGUGGGUUUCCCACGUUACAGACGGGCGGGAACGGAUGGAACGGCGAACCCUCGCCGGUGCAAGUCCGCGCCAUCAGGUAGUCCGGCCACGGCGCGGACGCUCAGCCGAAUGUCGGGACGAACCGAAGGGGGCUUACUCCCCUCAGUC
rnacentral:RNase_P_RNA from 1 species